rnacentral:rRNA from 1 species
UACGGGGGGAGCAAGCGUUGUUCGGAUUUAUUGGGCGUAAAGGGCGCGCAGGCGGCUACGCACGUCCGUUGUGAAAUCGCUCGGCUCAACUGGGCGGGGUCAGCGGAUACGGCGUAGCUGGAGCAAGCUAGGGGGCAAUGGAAUUCCCGGUGUAGUGGUGGAAUGCGUAGAUAUCGGGAGGAACACCAGUGGCGAAGGCGACUACCUGGCCUGUUCUUGACGCUGAGGCGCGAAAGCUAGGGGAGCAAACGGG